UUCUCUGUGGCUUUGGAGCCUGUCCUGGAACUAGCUCUUGUAGACCAGGCUGGUCUCGAACUCACAGAGAUCCGCCUGCCUCUGCCUCCCGAGUGCUGGGAUUAAAGGCGUGUGCCACCACCGCCCGGCAGGGAAGGAUUCUUUUGAGAAAGUGCAUUUUGAUGAGCUAAAUAUUGUGAAAAGGUUUAUCAGCACCUGAGCGAGGCAGAAAGUCCACUGAAGAGGCAGAUCCUUUCACAGAGCUGUCUGCUAAGCAGGUAAGUCAAGUCUUUUUGUAAAAGUUCAAGUGCUGUGGCACUUUGGGGUGUCUGUUAUCGGGUAGGCAUUGGGGCUCAUAACUACUCUUGCAGUCAUGACAAGUCAAAUAAAUCUAAAGGGACAACACAGCCUGACGGGAAUAUGACGACAGAGUGACAGAGACUGCAGAACAGGCGGGCAGGCAUCUAGAGAACUUGGCAAGACCCAGAAAACGACAGCCUUUUUUUGGUCACGUGCUGUUAUCAAGCCGGCUUGGCCUGAAUGUUUGCCCACAUCACCAACGAUUUUUUGGCCUCCAUAGGCACUACAUGUACAUGGUACAACUCUCUGUCUCUCUCUCAUGGGGGCAUCCAUAUACUGGGAAUGAGAAGUAGAAGCCUUAUUCUGUCUACGAGACAGACCUCAAAGCUUUGCUUUCUCCAACACCUACAAACUCAUCCAAUAGGAGAAAGACACUUCCUUCAAUCAGACUCUGUGGAAAGGAAGUGCCUUGAAAUUUUUAGCGGAGGAGGACUUUCUUAGAAAUUGAAAAAUUAUAAGCUGGUGUCUCACAAUCAACACCAAACCCAUGCUGGGCAAUUGCUAGGAUACAGAUAUGCUAUGAAAAUGCAAUAUAGCCAAAUUAAGGGGACAUGCACCCUCUUGAGAAUUUUACUAGUAUCGGUCAACUAACUACACCCAUCUGCAUACUUAAGAGAAUAAGACAUCUGGUUCACUCCCAGUCAUGUGUUAGAUAAAACCCCAUCACUACUAAAAAUCUCUUCAUCAGAAAAUGACCUAGUUGGAGCAGUUAGUUCUUCUAAGGUGUAAUGGAAAAGCCUAAGCAGUUUGUGAACAGAAAGUACAAACUCUUACAAUGUUUUCAUUUUUAUUUCCAAUCCAAAAAGGGAAAAGCUAGUAUUCUGCAGAAAAGCAUUUAAAAACACCUUUUAAAAUAGAUUUGCACUUCAAAUACUUAUGCCCUAAGUAGGGUAAAGUCCACAAUCCGCCUACAGCAACUCCAGACAAUGAAGUCCCAAGUUAGGUGAGCAAACGGGAAGUCCACAGAAGGCAAAUGGCUGCGUGGGAACUUCAACUAUCGCUGGGCACGCAGGUGAGGACCAAGGGUCCGGAACUUCAUGGGUUCGGAAAGGCGCUUGCUGCACAACUCUGGAGUUAGAUCUAAGUUCCAUCUGUGCAGCCCAUGCACUAGUGGGAGAGUGAACCUGCUCCACAAGCUACCCUCUGACCUCCACACAGCAGGACAUGUGUUCCCACACACACACUGUACACACAACACAGAGCCUUGCUGACCUCCACACAGCGUGGCAUGUACACACACACAUAUACUGUAGACACACAAAAGUCAUCCUGACCUCAACACAUCAUGGCACAUACACGCCCACACAUUAUAGAUACAAAUACAAAAAAAAUUAAAGAAAAAAAAAACAAAAUUAUGUGCAAUUACCAGCUGCACGUGUUAGGCUGCCACCCGAUCCACAGUGAGUCAGUACCAAUGGACCAAUGCCUCUGUCUGUCCCUGGUGGUCUGCCGCACUAACAUUCAGUUCCUCCUCCAUCUGUCAGCAGUUUCAAGCUCACAUUUGUAGUGCCUCCCCUUAAUGACUGCUGACCCAAAGACCUGUGUUCUAAAAUGGUCUGUGGUGAGAAGCAAUCAACACGGACAGAGCUGUUCUGGCUUAAACGUUACAUCCAGUCUCCACAAUGCUAGGUGUGGAGAAAUAUUCUGACUUCUCUUCCUAAAUUCAAAGUGAAAGUCAUUACUGUGGAAGCAUUUGAAAAUGUUCAUCUGGCCAGCAUCUCUUCUGACAAGAUACCCAACCUAAAAUGCUAUAUUCCUGGUAUUACUGGUGGCUGUGCGUGAACACUGAAUCCAGUGAGCACCCUACAGUUAGUUGUAAACUUUAACCAGAACCCACAACAGUCGCAGACUGUCUGCACUUCCUUCCACCCUUCCAGAAACACCCCGAAAACUGCCAUCCCUCUAGAUGAGAUAUCUCUAUAUAAAGUGUCCGUCCUGUGAUUAGGUUCCACUUCCUGUUCUUCGGGAAGGCGGCAAUGGUGCGGGGGUAUCUUCUGCUGCAGGACAAGAGAGGUGGCCUGAAACAACUGAGCUCAUUCAGCAGUCCAGUGGUCACCCAGUGACCAACUUGGCUUUUCUAAGUUAGCUCAUUGUUACAGGGCUGUGCCUCCUUUGAAAACUGGUAUCAAGAUGAAAAGUUGAUUAUUCUUUCAGAAACUUCUCAGCAUUACAAACUACGGGUCUGGAGGAUCAAGUGUCAUCAGAGAUAAAGGACUGACAUUCAUGAAAAGCACAAGUCACUUCGGGUCCCUUGCUCACUAGUAGCACUGCAGGCCAUUGCUCUAUCUGCAGGGGUGGGACCCACUGACAGAGGUCAGGGUUCUGCAGGGGUGGACCCACUGACAGAGGCCAGGGAAGCGGCCCUGAGUGCUGAAAGACCUUUAGCUUGCUCCUAGUGUAGCAGUCACAUUUCCCGUGCGUUUAGUUUGUGAAAAUGUUUAAUCUCAGUCUACUGUGACCAAGGCCCGAGGUGCAUCCUGUGAACUGUUUGUUGUUGUUGUUGUUGUUUUUAAUAUGUGGGAGAAAAUUUAAAGAUAUGCCCGUUGGAACUUCAACCACAUAACAAGCCUAUAUGAUGACUGUAGGAGUACUGCAUAUGAAGCAUAACACAAAAUCCAAUUUUAUACUUAGAAAUUAUACUUAGAAUCACACAAUUUAUACUUAGAAAUUAAAAAAUGCUUUCAACUUUUCCAACACUGAUGAAAACAGAAGUCCAAAGUACUAGGGGAUGGAGGUGGGGCAGUCUGCAACUGAUCCUGCUAAAAUCAAGAUGGUUAAUGUUGCCACUUCAGGGCCAAUUCAGACGCUUUGAUAAACUUGAUCCCAGCCCUGGGGAAAGACAAAGGCACAUAGAUGUCUGUGUUCCAAGCUGGUCAACACCACACAUUCUCUUGAAACAACCGUGUCUCAGAAAAUAAAGGCCUGGAGAAAAGGCUGAGCACUCAGGAGUCACUAGAAAUGAUUCUCAGAACACACAGGGUCGCUCACAACCCUCUGUAGUAACUCCAGUCCCGGGGAUCAUAAUUCCCAGAACACAUGGGGUGGCUCACAACCCUCUGUAGUAACUCUGGUCCCCAGGGAUCUGAUACCCACUCUUUUCUGGUCUCUGUGGGCAGGACAAAACACAUACAUAUAAAAAAAAAUGAAAAUUUAAAAUACAAAAAGUAAAGGCCUUAAUAAUACACUUGUCUUUAACACACGCAGUGUAGCAAGCACACAUUAGAAUUCAGUGGAGUCUAUCAAGUCUUGCCACACUAUUUACACAAGGACGACAGGAAUCAAGAUGCUGGGACUCUGACCAAAAAAUUCACAAGAAGACACCAAUUAAGGAGGCAAUUUUCCUAGCAAUGUGGUAGUAUACUAGACACAAGCUUUGCAGAUAAUACAGAAAUUGUUUAAAGCGAACAAAAAAACCCCAACUCUUUAAUUUCGAAAAUUCCCAGGUAUCCUCAGGGACACUUAAAAAUAAUUCUAGAAUGUUAAAAUGUAAGAAAAGACAACAAAGCCUCCAGCACUAAUUCUUUACUCCCGUCCUCCCAGGAAUGACAACAGAAACUACAUGGAGGACUCACAUUCACUAACCUAAUUAGAGCGCAUACCGCCUCAUCCCCUGCAUUAACAAAUUUGGGUUGGACCACGUGUUACAAAGCACUGGGAGGCCAGAUUUAACCGGAUCCCAAUGCCGACUGGUGUCUUCUGCUUCUUUACUACUUCCUGCUCUCCACAGCCAAAGGUAAGGGUCAGCAGAAGGCAGGCUUUGCAAGGCUCCUGAACACUAGAGGGACUAUGAGGAAAAACUCAAGGUUUUGGUUACAACUGUAAGGUAUCUGAAACACAUUGGCGUAAUGCUGAUGAAAGAAUGGAGCUGGUUACUUCAACCAUUAAAGGAGAAGGCCAUUUUGAGCCUGUCAACGUUGCUAGCAUAAUCAAUACAAUGGACUAAAGAGGAAAACAAAAACAAUUACGUUUCUUUAAUGUUUUGCAUUCUAUUGAUUCACAAACCUCAUAAGUCUUUUUUUCAGUUGACACAAUCAACUUCAACUUGUAGAAGAGACUAAGACCCAAUUCAAUUUUUUUUUCCAUACAGUACAGUGAUUUAGGGGAAACUACCACAGAAACUGGGAGCGUAGUGUGAGCCCAUCACUACCGUAAGAAGGCAUCAAGGAGGGCAAAGGUUUAGCGACACACCUUACUGUCUGGGCAGCACACUCUUCUGGUGGUAUGGCUGGACCUGUUUAUAACCUUUCUGCACUGCUCUCCCAGGGCGUGAAGUGCUUUUUAAAAACAUGUUGUAUUCAAACCCAACUUCCCCUUAGGUGCAGCCUCAUUUCAUUACACAGAAGAAGCCUUUGUGUUGUUAUCCCUUAGAGCUAGCCACAACUGUUGUACCAUAGUUCCCAGGGUCACACUAACCUCAGGCAUUAUUUGAUCAGAAGUUUUCCAUUUUAAAAAAUAAAAACAAUGACCACCCUAGGAUUACCUGAUAAUGGGACACAUUUUCUUUAUUCAUAAAUUACCGCACAUUGUCAGGACACCUUUUUAAAAUAGAUAUUGAGGGGAAUCCUUUUAAAUCUUUCUUUCUUAAUAUGCUUGGAAAUAUUAAAAUUUCAAAAGAAGUAAAAAUCAAACCUAAAUACUUUAAAAAAAAUCAUAAAUGAAUAAAAGCAUAGACUUUGGACAUACAAAACUCGAGUGGGGAGAAGUCUACUUUUACAUAUACACCACUAAUACUUCAAGUGCAACAGAAGCUGGAGCACUUGUCUCCGGACCAGUUCACAUUCACCUUGUAACGCUCCCAAAAAGACCAACUGAUCCUCAACAUUAAAGUACAUCUGUGCAUUAAAUCCCUGCGCAUUUUAACACCUAGUGCUCAAUGUAAACAUUUUAACUAUUAUUUAUUAAUCAUUCUUAAUCCUUAAUGGUACUUAGGAGUGUGUCACAUAGUCAAAUUUCAUGUUAGAAAUAGCACCAUAACCAAAAGGAAAAAAUGAAAAACAAAACCCCACAAAAACACUUCCUCCAAACCCCUCAUCUUGACUUCACAAGUUGAGAGUCGCUGUCAACAAUUCCACCCGAGGUCACCAGAGUCACUUCUGUUCUCUGAUGAACCCGAAAUACUGCUUCUACACAAUUGGACCAAAAAGAAAGGGGGAGAGGGAGUUUUAGAAAGGAUUGUAGACUAAUCAGUUAUCAGUUAAAACUUAGUCUAAGACUGAGAACCGUUCUGCACAUGAAACCCAAACUCACUCAUGAGUGCACUUCAUAUUCAUUUAUGGAUUUUUGGUGCCUUUUUGCAGAUAAUGGUAAACAUGCAGCUAAAAUCCUGAGGGACGUUAACAGGAAUCAAACGUAUUUCUGGUCGACAGCCAAAGACACCAGGACCUUCCAUCUACUCUAUGGUAAGCAUCUAACCUCCCAUGUGUGGUGGGGAGAGAUCACUACCCUGAGAAACAGCACCUACCAACCACCGCUGGAAACUCCCAAAGCCAACCCCAUCUCUUGCAUGAGAACAGAGAAGUGCCUGCCAAAAGGAAUUGUGAUGCCAAAGAACAUCAGAUGCUCUUCCUGAUCUGCCACCUCAGGAAAAGAGGAGGGAAAGGGGGCAGUUUAUGUAUGAACGCAAACACAACUAUGGUCAAAAAUCACUCGAAGGUGUGUAAACCACAAAUCCCUAUCACUCACGGAAACUCAAGGGAAACCUACCGGGAAGAGCUACCUACAGUAGACCAAAAAUAAGCAACUCAACAAAGAAAUGAACCUGGCUCAAAAAUAAAUGUACUCUAGUAUUCAGGGUGAUGUGAUGUCACUGUGCCUCAAACAUGACUUUCUCACACUAGAGGUCCCAGAAAGGAUGCUGACGGUGCAGGUGCACAAGGCAGCAGGAAGUUCAAGGAUGGAGAAGGACGUAGGUAGGACUCACAACUGUACUCUGAACUCCACAGUUCUGACAGAGAAAAAUCUACACAGAACCGAAAUACCAUUAGCCCUGCCCUCUUAUUAAAGAACACUUUCCCUAAAUCUAAGGCACACAAACUUCUCUACUUCAGAGUAAGAUUAUGGAAGAGCAAGAAUUUGGUAAAUCCUAAUGGAAAGUAAAUCUUGAACAAAAAAAAAAAAAAAAAAAAAAAAAAAAAAAAAAAAAAAAAAAAAAAAAAAAAAAGGGACAAUUUGUCAGUGAACUAUCUAAAAGAAAAUAUUCUAACUAUUCUCUCAAUCUAGACCUUUAAAUUAUGCACUCCAAACAUGUAAAAUCAUUUACCAGCCAGCACUUUAUAAAUUCAAGUUUAUAAACAUUAAAGUCAUCAGGUUUUCCUUAAAAAGAUAAGAGUAAGACCCAACAAGCAUUUGGGAAAAAGUGGAAGCCAUGUUAAUAAAGAUGACCAGAUGUGGGUAAAUGUAUCCUACUCAAGUCUCCAGGGAAAAUGAUUACAAAAAAAAAUAGUAAAAAAAGAAAAAAAGUGGUAGGUGCCUUGCCUACUAAUCAUGGUUACACUCGCCAUGAUUAUAAUGUCAGUAUGCACAUAAUAUUUAUCAAGAUUCUGUAAACAUAGGUCACGAGGAUUUUUCUCCUACUUUAACUACAUGGCAGGGGUUUAGAAACUACCACUUCUGGACAAAUUCAGGAAAGAACUGCGUGACACUGCUGUUACAAAGUAAUGCUCACUGGCUUGGGUAACCAAGUCGUCUAGUGUUUAACCUGUCUGUAUUCAAUACUGUCAAAGUAGAUCUGCCCCCAAAAUGAAGCAUAUUUUGGCACCUGUGCUGAAUGCUGCUUCAAAAACCAGCAAGUGCAAAUAAAAAUAACAGUCAUGAUUUAGUCACAUUCACAAACUUCUCGUAGAAAAAUAUAAAUAUAUUCCCUGAAUUGUAAGCCAGCGUUCACAAUACAUUCCAGUCGCUGUGCGCACGCUGGCUCUCACGGUCACAAGGUGCAGUCACUGAGCUCCAAUGCAUUUUCUAUGCUUCUGUCAUCUUCCCCAUCAUGGUACCUCACCGUCCUCCUACCCUGAUUUCUCGUUC